rnacentral:tRNA from 1 species
GCAUCAGUGGUUCAAUGGUAGAAUGCUCGCCUGCCACGCGGGCGUCCGGGUUCGAUUCCCGGCCGAUGCA